ensembl:lncRNA
AUGUGGAAAACAAACCCUCCCAUCCCUUGUAGAUUAUAAAUAAAUACAAAACCGCCACAGAACUAGAGGUCUUCUCUUUAAUGUUACUUUAAAAUUGCUAUGAUUGUAUUGUACGUUCUUAUUUAAUGUCUGAUUGAAACACAAAUUUACAUGCAUGUUUGUUACAAAAAUGAAAAAAAAAGAAAACAAAACAAGUCACAAUUUGUCAGCUCUGAUUUCAAAUUGCAAUUAUUUUUAAGGUGUAUACCAUCAAAAGAGAAUGGGUAUUUUUUUGUAUGUAUUCUGGAAGAAAAAAAAAAAAAAAGGAAAAACAAUUCUAUUCCAAACCUCAUUUGCCUUAUUUUGUUCUUUAAAAGGAACACGUAACUAUUUUUAAUUUUUAAGUCCACCGGCUGAAAAGGGGACAAGGUUUACGUCAUGUACUAAAAUAAUAGACAAUGUAUCGCUUUAAAGAUUAAAAUUCCGUAUAUUUGAUGUAUUAAAAGGUUUUACUUCUUCUUUUUUUUUUUUUUCUUGGUUAAAGAGAAACAAGAGCAUGGCAAUUUGGCCACAGUGGGUUCCCUGGGCCUCACGGCUAUUCCUUCCCAGGACCGUGGUCGAAAUUCCGAUUGUUUAGUUGUAAUUUUCAGGAAGAGGCAAAGGCUUCAGAAGGGCUGGACUUGGAGGAAAUAUUUUUAAACGGGAUUUCACAAUUUGGAAAGAUAGUGUACUUAGCUAUCGCUCAUUUCGUUUUUUUCUCCCAGUAGCUGGUUUGUUAAAAGUGAAAGGGGGGAAAGGGGAUUUAAAAAAAUUUCCCUCUUAAGAUUUUGAGGAGUUUGGGUUUCGUUUUGUGCAGAGAGCGGCGCAGGUCCGGACUCGCCCGCCCAGCCUCGGCCCGGGGGAGGUGCCGCUGCCCGCAGUUCCUCUAUGCUUUCCUACCGUCAUCGGUUACGGGCGGGCAGCCGGGAUCGAUUGGCGGUCGGAGGGCGCUUGGGAACCUGUUUCCUAGGCCUGGGGAGGAGAGCGCGCUGGAGCCCUCUUGUCCCUCCGAGGAAAAUGAGUUCUCUUUCCUUUUCUUCAGCUGGCUGCCGAGGGCUAGAGGCCGCCACCAGCCGACCCCUCCAGCCAACUCCCUCCCCCUGGGGCUCCUUCCUCUCUCCCGAGUCGGGACCCGCGUCAGGCCGGCGCCGAUGCUGCUUUUCCGAAUCCCGAUUUCUCUGCAGUCUACGCUCUAUCCCAGUCUGCGCCGCAGGAGAAAGCGCCGGGGCCCGGAAGCCCCUUCCAGUUCGACUCCGCAAGGGUCCUGGCGCCCAUUGUCACCCUCGCUGGGGCGACCUGGGUGGACGCGGAGCGCCGUUCUGGGUCGCGAGCUCCGCUCGGCAAAGUCGCUGCGCGACCCCCGGUCCCGGCGCGAUUCCCGCAGCGCGCACCGCUACCUUCUCCCCAGCGUGCGCGGCGGCACUGAGCUGCCUGAAGAGCCCCUGGAACCAGGCAGAAAAGAGGUCUAAUCUUCGUGUGUGUGCGCGCGCGCGCGUGUGUGUGUAUGUGUUGGAGCGGGGUGGGGUGAGGGGUCCUAGGCCCAGCCCCCACCCCGACCGCGAUCACACACUCACACCCCAGACCCGGGCGCCAGCCCUGCUCUCUGCUUGUUGGGGCGCUCUCCCCGGCGGGUCCGCAGUUUGGUCCAGAGCGCAGCUUUUCUGGGAUCCUGGGGCUUCGGAGUCGCGGCGCUGAGCGCGGACCCCGAACUCUCCUCUCCCCAGGGUCAGGCCGUUCUGGGUUCUCCGAGCCACCGGCCUCCCUCGGCGUCAGGCUCCCCCUGCUGCCUCGGGAAGCUCACCGCCGCUCAAAGGCCGCCCUCGGCCUCGGGCCUCGGUCAGUCAACCGCACGGCCCCCGCCGCCAUUUGUUCGGGAGUUGGUGACUCAGAUUUUUCCAUCCUCCUCCCAGCAUCAGCCUCACGCCUGCGGGGCCUUUUCCCGGGUUGCACGCAAAGCGGGCCCGACGACCUCCGGGACGCCUCUCAGGCCUCCGCCUGGAGAAGACUUCGUAGAGGAAGACUCGGGCUCCGUGCCGCCUACCCGGAGGGGGCAGCCUCCAGCGCCUCUGAGCCGUCGGCCCGCAGGCACGCCCGGGACGCUGCAGCCCAGCUCCCACUCUGGUCCGGCUAAGAGAAGCUGGGCUGGGCCUGGCUGGGCCCGGCUUAUCGAGAACCCUGGCCGAUGGGGCUGCUUGUCACCUCCAGGCUCUCGGAGACACACACACACUCACAAUCUGGAUAGGAGGACUUUCCAGGAGGUGGUUCGGCCCGAGUCCCGGGGACUCAAGUGCCCACGCUUGCGACGUGAAAGCCAGACCCUUGUUCACCCCUCACCAGCACCAGCCCCAAGCCCCUGGUCAUUCCGACCCACACGCUUUGCCUUCCUUGGCCUCGCAUCUUCCGACAGGGCCACCAUGCCUCGCCAGCAGGGACCCACUUGGGUGGGAAGGGCCUAGAAAUUCCCCAGCCCUGGAAUUUCAGGCCUGGGACCAUCAGAAAGACAAACUAGGCCCUCUCGUGCCUUCACGCCCUCUCUUGGUAUUUUAGUAUAGUAACAAAAAGCAAACCCAAAACGGCUUAAAAUUUUAAUGAGACCUCCUUCCCGGAGAAGUUACUCAGAGGCAGCAAAAUUCCGGAGCUGGGGCCGGGGAUCAGGGAUGGUCCCCCGACGUGUGCGACGGAGCUGAGUCAUCCCAGGCACAGGGUUAGUAAGGAGAGGGUGCCGAUAUGUGCUGCAGGUCCAAUCCAGGCGCGACCCCCUCAGGAAAAAGACGCCCCAUCCUCACUGCGCGCCCCUGGCUCUCUCCCCCUGUCUGCUGAACUGCGGCGAGAUGCGCCCG